CGGGGUGUAGCGCAGAUGGUAGCGCGCUUGCUUCGGGAGCAAGAGGUCGCAGGUUCGAGUCCUGUCACCCCGACCA
rnacentral:tRNA from 1 species